rnacentral:rRNA from 1 species
GACGGGGGAUGCAAGCGUAAUCCGGCAUCACUGGGCGUAAAGCGUCUGUAGGUGGUGAUGCAAGUCACUGGUGCAAAACUCUGGCUCAACCGGAGGAAAGCCAGUGAAACUGCAUGACUAGAGUGUGGGAGAGGUAGAAGGAAUUCCCUGAGUAGCGGUGAAAUGCGUAGAUACAGGGAAGAACACCGUAGGCGAAAGCGUUCUUCUGGAACACAACUGACACUGAGAGACGAAAGCUAUGGGAGCGAAUGGG